CUGACAAAAAGGAGUAUUCUGACUUACGUCAUGGGCUGAAAUAGCGCCAUCUACGCUUUCCUAAUUCCGACAUAGCAGUAGCAACGAAUUGGAUGUUCGCACCGAAAUCUUGUCCUAAAUUACACCUGUUAUUGAUACGAAGCCAACCCGUUUGCAACAAUAAGGAGGCAAGAAGUUUUCACGGAGCAAGUGUGAUGGAAUUAGUUGACAUAGAAUAAAUUAGCAAGUCAACCCUACUACGACUUUUCAUUGACUGUUUCUUCAGU